UACGUAGGGUGCAAGCGUUAAUCGGAAUUACUGGGCGUAAAGCGUACGCAGGCGGCUUUGCAAGACAGGUGUGAAAUCCCCGGGCCUAACCUGGGAACUGCAUUUGUGACUGCAUGGCUAGAGUUUGUCAGAGGGGGGUGGAAUUCCACGUGUAGCAGUGAAAUGCGUAGAUAUCUGGAGGAACACCGGUGGCGAAGGCGGCAUCCUGGACCGGCAUUGACGCUGAGGCGCGAAAGCCAGGGGAGCAAGCGGG
rnacentral:rRNA from 1 species